AUCCGGGUUGCGGACAGUGUCUGGUGGGUAGUUUGACUGGGGCGGUCUCCUCCCAAAGCGUAACGGAGGAGCACGAAGGUUAGCUAAUCCUGGUCGGACAUCAGGAGGUUAGUGCAAAGGCAUAAGCUAGCUUGACUGCGAGAGUGACAGCUCGAGCAGGUGCGAAAGCAGGUCUUAGUGAUCCGGUGGUUCUGAAUGGAAGGGCCAUCGCUCAACGGAUAAAAGGUACUCCGGGGAUAACAGGCUGAUACCGCCCAAGAGUUCAUAUCGACGGCGGUGUUUGGCACCUCGAUGUCGGCUCAUCACAUCCUGGGGCUGAAGUAGGUCCCAAGGGUAUGGCUGUUCGCCAUUUAAAGUGGUACGCGAGCUGGGUUUAGAACGUCGUGAGACAGUUCGGUCCCUAUCUGCCGUGGGCGUUGGAAGAUUGAGAGGGGUUGCUCCUAGUACGAGAGGACCGGAGUGAACGCACCACUGGUGUUCGGGUUGUGAUGCCAAUUGCAUUGCCCGGUAGCUAAGUGCGGAAGAGAUAACCGCUGAAAGCAUCUAAGCGGGAAACUUGCCUCGAGAUGAGUCUUCCCUGGGCACUAGAUGCCCCUGAAGGGCCGUUGAAGACGACGACGUAGAUAGGCUGGGUGUGUAAGCGUAGCGAUACGUUGAGCUAACCAGUACUAAUGACCCGAGAGGCUUAACCUUACAACACCGAAGGUGUUU
rnacentral:rRNA from 1 species